rnacentral:rRNA from 1 species
AUGGAAGACAUGGACAUUGGCAUCGUCUGUUACGACGGUUCCCCAGGAUCAGCAGCAUCAAGGACAGCAACGCCUGCGCCCAAUGAGAAUGACUAUCUGAUAGUAAUUCCUUAUGCCCACAUAUUCGCCCUGAUGUUGAAAGCUCUAAAGUUACCCCCUGCAACUUAUUAUCACAAGAUAUGCCCAGGCGGAAAGAAUCGUGUGACGGUUACUUUCAUUUCUUCUUUGGAAUUGCUCGAUGGUGCACUUGUUCCAAGUUCUCUGUCAGGUGCAAUCUUAGAUAGCUAUGAAGAUGCUGAAGACAGUGCUGCUAUUGAAGCUAUUAGAUACAUGGAAAAUGCAUAUGGCAAAGAAAUGAGGGACUACCACUACACUCAUGUCAAGAAGCUUGAAAAUCAAGUGACGGACCUGGUCAAAUGGUUGGUUGCAUCAAAUAAAACAAUCAAGAAGCUGCGCAAAACAUGCUACUACGCUGUCAGGUAUAUGAGCUCAUAUUCUGCCCAAAUAGAAAACACAACGACUGCUCGGCAUUUGAAAGGGCGGGAUAGCACCAAGGGAGUUAUGAAAACAGCGCCGGCAAGCAUUGAAGGACUGACGCAGAGGCUACGCUACAUUGCUAUGAAGUUUGAGCAGCGCCUCGAAGCAACCAGAAAUAGUUUCCGGUGA